AUGGGUGUUGUCGCUGAAAUAGAUAAACGUUGCAGAGCCUUUUUUUGGGCGGGUCAAGACAAAGUUUCGGGAGGUCAAUGCAAAGUUGCUUGGGAUUUUGUGUGUGCGCCUUUCACUCGUGGGGGACUAGGUUUCUCUUCUCUUCAACACCUCAACUCUUGCCUACUUCUCUCUCAUUUAACCAAGCUUCACUCACGCUCCACGGCUCGCGGGGUUUCUCCGUUGGCUGCUAGAUAUGGGUGGUCCGACGACCAGGACCUAGGCACUACUCAUGCUUAUGAUUCCCAUGUGUGGCGUGAUAUCGCCAAGGGGAUCCCCCUCUUUCGUAACUUAACACAAGUGGACGUCGGCAACGGUACCUCCACCGCCUUCUGGCUUGAUCUUUGGGUUCCGUGCUCUACAUAUAUUCUUGCUUCACAGUACCCUGCUCUGUUCUCUCAUGUUCUCCGACCCUCGACUUCUGCUGCCAGGGUUCUAAGCUCGCCGGAUCUGUGCCUCGACCUCGCUCCACGCCUAACUCAUGCUGCUGAACUUGAACUGGGCUACCUGCGCAACUUGCUGGCUUCCGUUUCCUUGAAUUUGCAGGAACCAGACCGACGAACAGGACGAUCUGAUGGCAAGCCUCUGACUUGCAAUGCGGCAUACAAGGCUUUGUGGGUGGGAGAGCCUAUCGAUCCCUUGGCAAUGGCCAUCUGGAAGAAUUACGCUCCAAACAAAUGUAGAAUUUUCCUCUGGCUGGCAAACAAGAAUCGUCUCUUCACCAACGAACGGCGUUUUCACAGAGGCAUCACAACUUCUCCGGCUUGCCCUCUCUGUCCGGGGACGGAGUUCGUAAACCACCUGCUUCUGCACUGCCCGGAGCUCACUACUCUGUGGGGAGAACUCUCCUCUCUCACUCCAGGUAUACCCGCAGAUCUUUGGGAUCUUUGGGCCAACGACAUGCAGAAUAAAAUUCGCUCUACAAUAAUCCUCGCCAUCCUUUGGAACAUUUGGAAAAGAAGGAAUGCAAAAGUCUUCAGGGAUGACACUCAACCGGUUCACCUCAUCGCUCGUUCUGCCGCUGAUGAUGUUCUGCUUGGUCUAGCAGAUGUAAUAAUGAGCAAGCGCAAGGUUUGCUGCGCGACUGGGGUACCAUGUUGUUUCACCUAUCUAUGA
rnacentral:rRNA from 1 species